CUACAACCGUGUUAGUGAUAGAAACGGCAGCUUUUUUAUAGUUUUUUUUCUAAAACUAUAAAAAACUACAGUGUAAAGCACGACCCGCA
rnacentral:sRNA from 1 species